UAAAUAAUCAUAAUAAUUUGAUUAUGUGAGAUAUUUUUUUAUGAAAAAGAUAUUUGAGAAAUAAAUCAUUGCCAAACCUUGUAAGAUUAUGUCGUAGUCUAAUGACUACACUUACAAAAAUCUGUAAUAUUUGCUACAUGGAUAAAAAUUUCAGAGUAAAAUAAAGUUAACAAAUUUAAAUACAAGCAUGUUCACCUUAUUGUAUAAAAAAAUAUCAGAGUAUGAUUGGUUACAGACUAAGUUUACAUCACCACAUCACUAGCUAAGAAGCCUGGUCAUAUGUUCACCACCAACUGUCAAUAUUCGUGCAUCAACGUGUCCCAUUUUUUUGUCAUAUCAGCGGUCUAGUAGUAGUAGGCUUCUGUUGUCAGGAUACGUCAAAUACAGAAAGUGCGUGGCUUGGUUUGGUUACUUCUACGCGUGGCUUGGGCAGCGUGAGAUACUUUGUGAAACUUGAAAAAGACAACAAAAAGAAAGCAAAUAUGGCUUCCGAGGACGAGAGGAUCGAAACAGCAUCAAAACAGAACAACAUUAUUGCCAACAAGUGGCGAUGCGGGCACGAGGGCCGGAACGUGGUGGUGGCGCGCGUGGCGGGCUCUAACCGGGGGGCUUUGUCGAAAAUUGAGCACGGCACCCCAAGAGGAGGACGUUGAUGCGGUCGCGUUUGCGCAGGCAGCGCAGGACUAUCUGGACGCUGUUGGGCGUAGUCGCCAGCGCCUCUAUGAGCGGCUGCACAUUUCUGAAGUGGAAAACCUUCCACCCGCCCGGCGCCUGCCACUAACGUCGGCCCAAAUGGCCGAAUUAAACGACCUAUGGUUACUAACGGUGGCAGCCACCGAGGAUCGCGUUGCAGCGCGUCUAAAUAAAUUAGGGAGCUCUGUCCACUAAAAUUUUGUCUAGUUAGUUAUCUUUACUAUAAAUUGCAAUCCUAAUUCAUGCACAGUUUAUGAAUUGAUCCAGCUAUGUUCGGGAAUAUGAUGAAUACUAUCAAUACAGUAUAUAUAUCAUAUCUCCGAACACAGCUGGAUCAAUAUAUAAACUGUGUAUAAUAAAUUCUUGCAAUUUAUACUAAAGAUAACUAAGAUUAUAAUUCUAGUUAGGACAGAGCUCCCCAAGUUGAUUAUAAUGAACUUAAAAUUAAAAUAUAUUGAAAAACAAAUUGUCAUUUCUUUUUACUACCCUUUGUUUUCACAUAACUUUAACAUGAAUAUCAUGCCAGCUAUAGCUCUACACUAUCGCCGAACUCAUUGCGUAGUUUGUAUGAGAGCUUUUAUAUAACGCAAGAUGAAAGCAGCAAUGUCCGCCGAAAUCGCCAACUACAUUUUGGCGGAUUCGGUUUAUAAAUAUUGUUUUUCAUUGCAGUAAAUAAAACCUCUUUACAAACUACGCAAUGUUCAUGCAAUCGCGUCGUUGUCUGUCCGAGUUCGGUGAUAGUGUGAGCCUACAUAUAAUCAUUAGGUACUAUGCAAAUUGAAAAUUGGCUAGAAAGUUCUGCUGUUAAACAAUAGAUGGCGUGGCAGAAAGUUUAAGAAAUUACGUAAAAAAUAUUUUCGAGUCACAAUAUUGAUUAUUAUAAGUACUCAACCGAUUUUGAGGAAAUUUGCCACAGAGACAGACGAAACAUCCAGGUGUGACAUAGGCUACUUUUUUAUUUAGAAAAGUUGACCCCAUGGUAAAAUUUGAAAAUUUAUAUGAAAUUAUGUUUUGUACUCUUAACUCCGGAAAUACUGUACGAACUUUAAUAAUUUUAUACUUUAAAACUGGCUUGCUUCAAUUUAUAUCUAAAAGUGUGAAGCUGACGUAAAAAGUAUAAAUUUACGAUCUAUUUUAUGUAAAAUUCCAAUCCAAAUAUUUUUCUAAAAAUUCCCUUAGAUGGCGGUGUUACUUUUUGAAACGCGAUAUGGUUUCGUUUUCUCAAGAAGCUAAGUACCUGGUUCACUUAAGACUUUUUAACCUUUGUAAAUAUUGUAAAUAUUUGUAAAUAUGUACAUAGUUAUGGGAAGGUUCUAAGCACCAGUUACAUUUUUUGAAGGGUCAUGGAUGAGAAUUCAUUCAUGACCUUUAUAUCCUACUAAUAUUAUAAAUGCGAAAGUUUGUGAGUGUAUACGUAUGUAUGUCUCUUUCACGCAAAAUCUACUAGACUGAUUAUUAUGAAAUUUGGUACACGGGUAGAAUAUAAUCUGGAAUAACACAUAGGGUAAUUUUUAUCUCGAAAUUCCCACGGGAGCGAAGCCCCGGGGUGCAGCUUCACCUUAUAAAUAAAUUAAUAGUAGGUACGUACCUAAUCAUCGCCAUAUAGAGACGGAUAUUUACCAUUAUGUAGUUGUUUCUACUA